rnacentral:sRNA from 1 species
UCAAGCGGAACGCAGACUAAAAUCGCCACGUCCUGUGGCAACGUCUGUAUGACCCGCAUCCUGCGGA